rnacentral:rRNA from 1 species
UCCCAGUUCGGAUCGCAGGCUGCAACCCGCCUGCGUGAAGUUGGAAUCGCUAGUAAUCGCGGAUCAGCAUGCCGCGGUGAAUACGUUCCCGGGCCUUGUACACACCGCCCGUCACACCAUGAGAGUCGGGAACACCCGAAGUCCGUAGCCUAACCGCAAGGGGGCGCGGCCGAAGGUGGGUUCGAUAAUUGGGGUGAAGUCGUAACAAGGUAGC